AAGUGGUCAAGCUGGUUUGGACAAUAUCCCAUUUCUCUGUGAACAUUCAAUGGACUUAUGAUAUGGACAAAAGCAUGCAAAACCUGCAGGGGCAGCUUGUUGCAACUGCCAGCAACUAGAUACAUAACAUCGUGACCCUGUCGAAGGAGGAGAGGCAGUGUUUUGGGGGUGUCUCGGAUGUUGGACCAUGCUGCAGUGGUCAAGACUCGGUGUUGCUGUGGAUUUUGUAUUGUUAACUGUACUUGUGUUACAUUGCAUAUGGAGAUAACCUAUAAGUAAUGUAAAAAGAAAAGGAGUACUUGUGGCACCUUAGAGACUAAC